UAAAAUAAAACAACACUAGACCAAUGACUCAUUAAGCUACUCGAUAUGUUUCCAUUCCAGAUUUUGUCAAAAUAAAAAUAAUGUUUCUGAAGUUUUGAUAAAGUCCAGUUGCUCUUUGUGCGUGUUUCUGUGAAUGAGCUGUAACUCUGGUAAAGUCUUAAACUGUCACUUUUUGUCACUGAGUUAUGUCACUUUGAGGAAGACUGGCUCAGAUGAACUGGUCACAUGAGCCCCUGUGUCAACUCCGGGGAAAUGACAAAACAGUGUUUCCACAUCGAUACGUCUGAGAAACCACCUGAUCACAGUGUCAGGGUUUGGGUCAGGGUUAUUUUAGACACGUAGGCGCUUUCAUUACCAGCCUUUUAUUGCAAUAUUAAGGUUUUGAGCAUUUCUAGGGGAAUGGAGACACAGUGAGUGUGAAGAAAUCUGAAAUCCUGCUGAACCCAGACAGUUUCUCAGAGUGGAGGCUGGAGGAGGUGGUUUCAGAGUUUGUGGUUUGUCAUGUAGACAUGAUGAACAGGUAAAGGAGGAAGUGAAGAACUCUUCUCUUCAGUCUGUUCAGAGCUGAGCUGCUUUGUAGACGUCUGAACCUGAUCAUGGAUCUCCUGCUGCUGCUGAUGAUGCCCCUGGUUCUGGUGGGUUCAGAGGUCCAGAACGUGACGGAGGUCAGAGGGAAGCUGGGUCAAGACGUCUCUUUAAACUGCUCCAUCAUGGAUGCAGAUGUUUUCUGGUCCAUGGAAAUCCACCAUCACUUCAGAUUCUCUAUCGGUCGCAGUUUUUUUCCUACAGACAAAGCUUCCUACAACUCUACUGAGUUAAAAACCAAAUAUUUAAUCAAUGGAACCAGACUUGAGAUUAAAAACAUGUCAUCAGAGGACGGCCGGCUUUACUACUGUGGAAGGACAAUACAUAACAGCAUUUCAGCUGAGGAGUCCUUCCUCCUCCUCCUCCUCCCAGAUUCUCCAGACUCCUCCGGAAUAAACCUGGGUGAUGUGGUCACAUACAGCUCACUGGCUCUGAACCUGGUCUUGGUUUUAGUCGUCCUAGCUGAACCUCCCUGAGACUCUCCUGCUGCGACCACCAUGGAGCUGUUGUCCUGUGAGCCGCUUGUCACGUAGCUGUUAACUCUCAGAAACUCGUCCUCUGGUUCAGUCGUGGCUUUGGUUCUGCAGUCAAACCUCUUCCUGUCAGAGUUCCCCUGGUUUCUGAGUUUCCUUUUGUUGGUGAAGGAAACUACCUUGUCUCUCUGUGCAGUUUCUCUGUGGGACAGACCUUCAUGUUGGAGUUGGUUUGUUCCUCUUCUAUUGUUAGUUGUGUUUUUGUAGAAACACACUACGGUGCUCAUGAGGGUAUGUGAUGGUAGCACAGUGUGUUCCAGUGCUGCUUUGAUGGAGACCUCUUGCUGCAGAAAAGGUUUAAAUUUUUCCUUGAAAAAGAACUUUUUGUCUCAUUGUGAAAUGUAGAUUUCUCAGUUGUGGGUAACCUCACCUCACCAGUUCACCACUUACCUUUGUACCAUUUCAAGAUAUUAACUGGAAUUGAACAACUUGGAUUGCAGCAAAUAACUGGAAAAAUUGGGGUGAAACUUUUGACGGGUAGAGUUUAACUCAGCUGUGACGUUGUGUUCUCAGGGCUGAUUGUGUCUCUGAAGAGGAAAAUCAACAAAUUCCAGGAGAAUAAAUGUUCAGGUCCCAUCGACGAGAACCCUGAGAGGCUGGAGACUGUGCAGUAUGAGGAGAUCCAGCUCCCCGACUUCAGACCUCCUCCUCCUCCUGAAUGUGUUUAUUACAAAGUUCAGCUUCCUGGUUCCUGACGCACCUGAUUCCUGGUUCCUGGUUCCUGGUCUGGACUGAGGUCUGAUGCGCUGUGUGUUGACUCUAUGCUGGGUGGAGGCCGACCACGUCCUUGUGUUUUGAGCUGUUGAGUUUCUCAUGAGGACAGUUGUAACGUGUGUUGUGUAACUAAUAAAGUUCCCUCCAGCCUCCAA